AAUGAACGCUGGCGGCAGGCCUAACACAUGCAAGUCGAGCGAGCAUUUCGGUGCUAGCGGCGGACGGGUGAGUAACGCGUGGGAACGUGCCCUUUUCUGCGGAAUAGUCCUGGGAAACUGGGGGUAAUACCGCAUACGCCCUUUUGGGGAAAGAUUUAUCGGAGAAGGAUCGGCCCGCGUUGGAUUAGGUAGUUGGUGGGGUAAUGGCCCACCAAGCCGACGAUCCAUAGCUGGUUUGAGAGGAUGAUCAGCCACACUGGGACUGAGACACGGCCCAGACUCCUACGGGAGGCAGCAGUGGGGAAUCUUAGACAAUGGGGGCAACCCUGAUCGAGCCAUGCCGCGUGAGUGAUGAAGGCCUUAGGGUUGUAAAGCUCUUUCAGCUGGGAAGAUAAUGACGGUACCAGCAGAAGAAGCCCCGGCUAACUCCGUG
rnacentral:rRNA from 1 species